GACGAACGCUGGCGGCGUGCUUAACACAUGCAAGUCGAACGGAAAGGCCCUGCUUUUGUGGGGUGCUCGAGUGGCGAACGGGUGAGUAACACGUGAGUAACCUGCCCUUGACUUUGGGAUAACUUCAGGAAACUGGGGCUAAUACCGGAUAGGAGCUCCUGCUGCAUGGUGGGGGUUGGAACGUUUCGGCGGUUGGGGAUGGACUCGCGGCUUAUCAGUUUGUUGGUGGGGUAGUGGCUUACCAAGGCUUUGACGGGUAGCCGGCCUGAGAGGGUGACCGGCCACAUUGGGACUGAGAUACGGCCCAGACUCCUACGGGAGGCAGCAGUGGGGAAUAUUGCACAAUGGGCGGAAGCCUGAUGCAGCAACGCCGCGUGCGGGAUGACGGCCUUCGGGUUGUAAACCGCUUUCGCCUGUGACGAAGCGUGAGUGACGGUAAUGGGUAAAGAAGCACCGGCUAACUACGUG
rnacentral:rRNA from 1 species